rnacentral:miRNA from 1 species
GCUGACACAUCCCGGCCAAUCUCCAGCAGACCCUCCCUCCCAGACCCUUCCACCUCCUGGACAGCAUCCAUGUUGAAGCUGCCUUCAACAUGGAUGCUGUCCAGGAAGUAGGAGGGUCUGGGAGGGAGGGUCUGCUGGAGAUUGGCCGGGAUGUGUCAG